CCUUCAAACGUUUCUGCACGUCAGUGAGUAGCAGUGCCGCAAUCCUUUCUCGACGACGCGCUCUGUGGCCCUGGAAAAUGCCUUGACGUUCGGGGAUGCCGGGCGUGGGUAGCUUGGCCAUUCCUCGCUUGGUGCAUCGCUUGAAAACCGACGGUCAACCUGCAGUGUACGCCGCCGGCGUGCUUUCUUGCCAGAGGUAGCAAACAGCAGUGCCACGACUAACAGUGGAGUGCUGACCACGCAGUCCAGAAGGUGGCCGAGGCAAGCAUACCAUAAGAGGUGCUUAUUCAGGCAGAAGAAAUAAGCAUCUGUAGCCAACGUAAAGGAAGCAUCUUCAAAAAGCAGUGCUACAAGGAUGUGAGCAGCAGUUUCCCUUCAACGAACGGGUCAAAUUCAUGGAAGCCAUGUGCCUGCUGCUUCUGGCCUACACAAACAUGCAGCCACCAUAGUAAAGUUCUUACAAAGACAUUCUACACAAACUUGCCCAAAGGCGGAAGGAAGGCAUGCACAGAUGGACACAGAAAUCAUGGGGCUGCCACAGAAGCUGUGAAUAAGCAUUAACCU